UACAGAGGUCUCGAGCGUUGUUCGGAUUCAUUGGGCGUAAAGGGUGCGUAGGCGGCGGGGUAAGUCUGAUGUGAAAUCCCGGGGCUCAACCCCGGAACUGCAUUUGAUACUGCCUUGCUUGAGGACUGGAGAGGAGACUGGAAUUCACGGUGUAGCAGUGAAAUGCGUAGAUAUCGUGAGGAAGACCAGUGGCGAAGGCGGGUCUCUGGACAGUUCCUGACACUGAGGCACGAAGGCCAGGGGAGCAAACGGG
rnacentral:rRNA from 1 species